rnacentral:rRNA from 1 species
UACGUAGGGUGCGAGCGUUGUCCGGAAUUAUUGGGCGUAAAGAGCUCGUAGGCGGUGUGUCACGUCGGCCGUGAAAACCUGGGGCUCAACUCUGGGCGUGCGGUCGAUACGGGCAUCACUAGAGUUCGGCAGGGGAGAACGGAAUUCCUGGUGUAGCGGUGAAAUGCGCAGAUAUCAGGAGGAACACCGGUGGCGAAGGCGGUUCUCUGGGCAUUACCUGACGCUGAGGAGCGAAAGUGUGGGGAGCGAACAGG